CAAGGUUGUAAAUAUGCUCUUUUUCAAGGGUAAUGUAUAAUCGUCCUGCUAAGAUUUUUUAGCAAACCACAUACUGUGUCUUUCUUUUCCCUUCUAGAGCUUUCUCUCUCUUUCCCCUCACUUCUUAUUAUAUUCAAUAACAUGACUCAAGCAAAGAAAUAGGCAUAGUGCUCUUCUUCUCCAAUCUCCAUGAUACUCGAGUUGGGUAAUUGUUGGUAUUUACUAUCAAGAUGAGCUCGGAAGCCUAUGCACUAGCUAGAUUAGGAUAAAUAUUUUCAAAAUUUUAAGGGAUAUGGUUGAGGUGUUUGACAAAUAUUUAAAGAGAAAGAUAGAUUUCAUCACCAGCAAUCCUCGGGUUUGCUUUUAACUGCAAGUUACAGAAAAGGAUAUCGACCAGUUUAGACUCAAUGAACACAGAGGCUGAUCAAGUACAAGGAAUGGCAAUUCCAUUUUGCGUGUCAUAUAAUUAUGAGAUUCCUUUAUUUCCUUAUGAUCAAGUGAAUCGAUAACUUACAGUCCGCAUAUGUGUCUAGCCUUUCAUGGUUGCGUUAGGUUUAUCAUUUACUUUUGGCUUUUUAUUUUUAUUUUCUGAUUAAACAUUUCACCUUUGCAUAAUUUGAAAAGCUCUUCCUCUUAUUAUCAGUAUUUUAAUUUUGAUAAUUUAGCGCCGACAUAUUGUGUUCUUUCUAUGAAUUUUGUCAUACUAUGGAUGUUCUCAUUCCUCACACAAUUCAUCCCUUUUUUUCCCUACCCUUGUAGAAAAUGCUUUUUAACAAUUGAAACAGUAGCACUUCAAAAAUUAGAAUUCUCCCACGUAGCAUAGGCUUUUGUCUUGAUGCUUUAGGAUUUAUUUCAAUUUUGAAGUCUAAUUUUCGAUUCAAGUAACUUAUGUGCACACCUUUUUUGAAUCAUAAAGCCAUUUUUUUAUAAACAAAAGCUAAGCUUAUGACAUGUAAAGACAAGAAACAAUAGAAACAUGAGGAGUUGGAAAUGUAACAAAAAAUUUGUAACCAUUUUCUCCUCAUGUGAAGAUGUGCACAAAGCUCUGGUGUUUUUAAGUUUAAAUCUCUUGGUUCUAAUACAUGGUUGGUGACUCAUUAUAUCCUCUCUUUUUUUUUUUAAUUCAAUUUGCACUCUUAGUUUUGCAUUUUCAAAAUUGAAAUAAAUCCUAAAGCAUCAAGACAAAGGGAGAGCAGGUGUAGAAGGAUCAAGAGAUUUGGUUAUGAUCAUAAGAAAGAUUGAUACUCUAGCUUUCUGGAGAAAGAAGUGACAGUUGAUUCAGCCAAGAAGGUUAAGUGGAGACGGGAGAUCUCUGGAGAUUCUUAUCUCAUUCCAUUCCACUGACUUAACCAGUAACCUAUGGCGAGAACACUUUGUGCAUAGCUUAAAUAUUGACAAAGUCUGAAAAUUACAAUCCAUGCAACAUGUAUCCUUAAUAGCUGUAGAUUUUUAUUUGUGAUCUUUGAUAACUUUGUGUUAAGCUUUUUGUGGUAAGUCUUGUCUCCCAUGGGGUUAAAUUAUCAAUUUUACUUGCUCGUGUUGGUCAAUUCAAUGCGAUCAAUUUCUAUGUAAUGUGAGUCUGAAAAGGGGCAAUAUUUUAUGCUAUGCAUUCACAAGUGUAAAAGUGAUGAGGUUUUAAAUUUAGUUUUGUCAAAAUAGACAAAUAAAAACAUACAAGAAUGAUAGGAGAUGGAAAGAGGGCUAAGGUAUACUAUGAUAUGAUUCACUUUUGUAAUAUUGAGAAGAAUAAAAGAUAAAAAAACAGAACGUGAAAUCUGCGGUAU